rnacentral:rRNA from 1 species
GACGAACGCUGGCGGCGUGCCUAAUACAUGCAAGUUGAGCGCUUAAGGUUGGUUCUUGUACCGACUCGGUGAGCAGCGGACGAGUGAGUAACGCGUAGGUACUCGGCCUUUGAGCGUGACACAACGUUUGGAAACCAAUUCUAAUACCGCAUAAGAACUUUAAACACAGGUUUUAUGUUUGAAAAAUGCAAUUGCAUCACUCAAAGAGGAUCCCCCGGUGUAUUAGCUAGUUGGUGAGGUAAAGGCUCACCAAGGCGAUGAUACAUAGCCGAGCUGAGAAGGUGGUCGGCUAAAUCGGGAAUGAGAAACGGGACAAACUCCUAAGGGAGGGAGCAGGAGGGAAUUUUUGGAAAUGGACGGAAGUCUGAACGAGGACAGGCGGGUGAGUGAAGGAGGUUUUCGGAACGUAAAAGUAUGUUGGGAGGGGAGAAAGGUGGGGAGAGUGGAAAGCUGAUGAAGUGACGUUAACUACACAGAAAGGGACGGCUAACUACGUG